CACUUGAAGACAAAAGAAUCAGAAAGACUAAAAAGAAAAGGACAUGUCUUUGUGGGCAUUUCUUUCUUAUAUGCCACCUGGGUUUACACAUGUAUGCACAAAAAUAAUCAUCUCAAAGACAAAUUUGAGUCAGCGUGGCAUUAAUAUCCAUACCACUAUUAUUUGACUAAGAAGUUAUUUAUAUGCCACAAAAAAAGCUUCAUCUGGUUACUAAGAUUUUCUUUGACAGAAUUGUUGGACUUAAAUUUGGGACAACUGUCAUCAAAAUCAAAGAUGAAAGCUCAUAAGAAAGAUAAGUUUGAUGUGUUUGUAUCUCAAAGGUUAUCAUUUUUCUAUUGCCCCCCUUGUGUGUUCUCUUAACUUCCCCUGUGAAAAUAAAAUUAGGCUCAUGCUA